rnacentral:rRNA from 1 species
GGGUUCGAUUCCGGAGAGGGGCUCGGUGAAAUAGACUUGUCUGUGAAGAUGCGGACUACCUGCACCUGGACAGAAAGACCCUAUGAAGCUUUACUGUAACUUGAAAUUGAAAUUUGACUCAACACGC